rnacentral:rRNA from 1 species
GGGUGCGUAUGACAUGAAGAACGUACCCCUCCGUUCNGAAUAACCCCGCGAAAGCGGGGCUAAUACCGGAUACGGCCGCGGCGACGCCUGUCGCUGCGGUGAAAGUCGCAAGACGCGGAUGGAGCGCUUCAUGGCCUAUCAGCUAGUUGGCGGGGUAACGGCCCACCAAGGCGAUGACGGGUAGCCGGACUGAGAGGUCGACCGGCCACACGGGGACUGAGACACGGCCCCGACAUCUACGGAUGGCAGCAGUAGGGAAUAUUGCGCAAUGGGCGAAAGCCUGACGCAGCGACGCCGCGUGGGGGAUGAAGGCCUUCGGGUUGUAAACCCCUUUCAUGUGGGACGAAUACCGACUUAACCACAGGAAGAAGCACCGGCUAACUCCGUGCCAGCAGCUGCGGUAAGACGGAGAGUGCAAACGUUGUUCGGAUUUACUGGGCGUAGAGGGCACGUANGCGGCCAGGCAAAUCAGUUGUGGAAUCCCGACGCCUACCGUCGGAACGGCAAUUGAAAAUACCUGGCUCGAGGGCAUGAGGGGUCGCGGGAACUCCUGGUGGAGCGGUGAAAUGCGUAGAUAUCAGGAGGAACGCCGGAGGCGAAAGCGCGCGACUGGCAUGUCCCUGACGCUGAGGUGCGAAAGCCGGGGGAGCAAACAGGAUUAGAUACCCUGGUAGUCCCGGCUGUAAACGAUGGACACUGAAUGGAGGUGGGUUCACCUAUCUCUGUUGCAGCUAACGCGUUAAGUGUCCCGCCUGGGGAGUACGGCCGCAAGGUUAAAACUCAAAGGAAUUGACGGGGGCUCGCACAAGCGGUGGAGCAUGUGGUUCAAUUCGAUGCAACGCGAAGAACCUUACCCGGGCUUGAAGUGGAGGUGGUAGGAGCCGGAAACGGCGACGACCCCGAAAGGGGAGCCUUCAUCAGGUGUUGCAUGGCUGUCGUCAGCUCGUGUCGUGAGAUGUUAGCUUAAGUGCUGUAACGAGCGAAACCCUUGCUGUUAGUUGCAAUCCCGAAAGGGUGCACUCUAGCAGGACUGCC